UUACAAUGGAGAGUUUGAUCCUGGCUCAGGAUGAACGCUAGCGGCAGGCCUAAUACAUGCAAGUCGAGGGGCAGCACAGGUAGCAAUACUGGGUGGCGACCGGCAAACGGGUGCGGAACACGUACGCAACCUUCCUUCAAGCGGGGAAUAGCCCAGAGAAAUUUGGAUUAAUACCCCAUAAGAAUGUGGA
rnacentral:rRNA from 1 species